rnacentral:lncRNA from 1 species
ACCGCUGAAUACACGAGUAAAGUAACCGAGGAUGGAGGAGUGAUGACUACUAGGAACAGCGUCCGCCUGAUGCAUCGGCGCCAUCGUUGGCCCAUGUUUGCUGGUGGCUCCUACCAAAACAUGCCACGAACAGCGACAGGCACGGCUGCUUUUAACACCAGCCAGUGAUCAAUCAAGUGGGCAGAGGUCUCCAGCUCGCAUGAAUUCAACUGCGCAAACCAAAGCAUUAAUGGUAGCCGUAGCUCACACAUAUAAUUUAUUUAUUUGGCUAAUCGCUGUAAUGAUUCCG